rnacentral:lncRNA from 1 species
CAUUGAUUGGCUGACACCUUUAUCGUGGGCAAUUGACCAGGUGGAGACAUGUGGAUUUGCUGCAACAGCAGCCAGUACAUCAACUGUUACAUCAUCCACUUCAACUGUGCGCAGUCUUCUCUAUGUCAUAAUGCUUCUAGUGGUUUUUAUUUGGGUCGCCAAACAUAUGAAAACUCCUCUUUGAAAAUGUCGCCGGUUGGGAAAGUGCUGAGCAUACAAGUUAGCUGCUCGCAUAGCAUUUUGACGACACUCACCGUAAAUCAUUAGCAUACCAAAGGCUUCUUCUUUGAAGUACAACAUUGUUCAAAUGCUUCUGCUGGAC